ANACAACUACGAGUGUAAACUUAAAACUUAAAAGACUUGACGGUACUUCACAUCAUCCUAGAGGAGCCUGUCUAAUAACCGAUACCCCACGAUUAACCCAACCCCCCCUAGCCAAACAGUCUAUAUACCGCCAUCGCCAGCUCACCUUGUGAAAGAAACAGAGCGAGCCAAAUAACCCCACCCCUAAUACGAUAGGUCGAGGUGUAACUAAUGAGCGGGCUAAGAUGGGCUACACUCUCUAUUACAGAGGAUACGAAUCAACUAUGAAAAUACAAACUGAAGGAGGAUUUAGCAGUACACCAAAGACAUAAUAUUUGGUAGAAAUAACGCAAUGAAGUGUGC
rnacentral:rRNA from 1 species